rnacentral:rRNA from 1 species
AUUGAACGCUGGCGGCAUGCCUAACACAUGCAAGUCGAACGAGUGGCGGACGGGUGAGUAAUGUCUGGGAAACGUCCCGAUGGAGGGGGAUAACUACUGGAAACGGUAGCUAAUACCGCAUACCAUCGGAUGUGCCCAGAUGGGAUUAGCGAGUAGGGGGGGUAACGGCUCACAUAGGCGACGAUCCCUAGCUGGGCUGAGAGGAUGACCAGCCAAACUGGACCGGAGACACGGUCCAGCCUCCUACGGGAGGCAGCAGGGGGGAAGUUUGGACAAUGGGCGAAGGCCUGAUGCAGCCAUGCCGCGUGUUGGAAGAAGGCCUUCGGGUGGUAAAGUACUUUCAGCGGGGAGGCGGUACCCGCAGAAGAAGCACCGGCUAACUCCGUGCCAGCAGCCGCGGUAAUAC